rnacentral:rRNA from 1 species
UUUAAUUGAAGAGUUUGAUCAUGGCUCAGAUUGAACGCUGGCGGCAGGCCUAACACAUGCAAGUCGAGCGGAAACGAAGAGGUGCUUGCACCUUUGGCGUCGAGCGGCGGACGGGUGAGUAAUGCUUGGGAAUAUGCCUUAUGGUGGGGGACAACAGUUGGAAACGACUGCUAAUACCGCAUGAUG